CAAUGGUUCCUGCGGCGACGCAGGCUAAGAGGGAAUGCGCCAACCAAGCGCAGCCGCCCCCGCGACCGUGACCGGAGAGCUUCGCACGCCACUGGGGGACACCCUGGGAAGGCCGCAAAAGCGAAGGGGCCAAGGCCCCGAGAUCCGCAAGCCGGGAAACCUGCCUUGCCAG
rnacentral:ncRNA from 1 species